CAUUAGCUAGUUGGCGGGGUAACGGCCCACCAAGGCGACGAUGGCUAGGGGAUCUGAGAGGAUGGCCCCCCACACUGGUACUGAGACACGGACCAGACUCGUACGGGAGGCAGCAGUAAGGAAUAUUGGUCAAUGGGCGCAAGCCUGAACCAGCCAUGCCGCGUGCAGGAAGACGGCCCUCCGGGUUGUAAACUGCUUUUAUACCGGAAUAAACCUCCCUACGUGUAGGGAGCUGAAUGUACGGUAGGAAUAAGGAUCGGCUAACUCCGUGCCAGCAGCCGCGGUAAUACGGAGGAUCCGAGCGUUAUCCGGAUUUAUUGGGUUUAAAGGGUGCGUAGGCGGCCUGUUAAGUCAGGGGUGAAAGACGGUGGCUCAACCAUCGCAGUGCCCUUGAUACUGACGGGCUUGAAUCAACUAGAGGCAGGCGGAAUGUGACAAGUAGCGGUGAAAUGCAUAGAUAUGUCACAGAACACCGAUUGCGAAGGCAGCUUGCUAUGGUUGUAUUGACGCUGAGGCACGAAAGCGUGGGGAUCAAACAGGAUUAGAUACCCUGGUAGUCCACGCCCUAAACGAUGAACACUCGCUGUUGGCGAUACACGGUCAGCGGCUAAGCGAAAGCGU
rnacentral:rRNA from 1 species